rnacentral:rRNA from 1 species
CGAGCGCAACCAUUAUCCUUUGUUGCCAGCGAGUAAUGUCGGGAACUCAAAGGAGACUGCCGGUGACAAACCGGAGGAAGGUGGGGAUGACGUCAAGUCAUCAUGGCCCUUACGGCCAGGGCUACACACGUGCUACAAUGGCGCAUACAAAGAGAAGCGAACUCGCGAGAGCAAGCGGACCUCACAAAGUGCGUCGUAGUCCGGAUCGGAGUCUGCAACUCGACUCCGUGAAGUCGGAAUCGCUAGUAAUCGUAGAUCAGAAUGSUACGGUGAAUACGUUCCCGGGCCUUGUACACACCGCCCGUCACACCAUGGGAGUGGGUUGCAAAAGAAGUAGGUAGCUUAACCUUCGGGAGGGCGCUUACCACUUGUGAUUCAGACUGGGGUGAAGUCGUAACAAGGUA